rnacentral:rRNA from 1 species
AUGAACGCUGGCGGCGUGCCUAAUACAUGCAAGUCGAGCGAACAGACGAGGAGCUUGCUCCUCUGACGUUAGCGGCGGACGGGUGAGUAACACGUGGAUAACCUACCUAUAAGACUGGGAUAACUUCGGGAAACCGGAGCUAAUACCGGAUAAUAUAUUGAACCGCAUGGUUCAAUAGUGAAAGACGGUUUUGCUGUCACUUAUAGAUGGAUCCGCGCCGCAUUAGCUAGUUGGUAAGGUAACGGCUUACCAAGGCAACGAUGCGUAGCUGACCUGAGAGGGUGAUCGGCCACACUGGAACUGAGACACGGUCCAGACUCCUACGGGAGGCAGCAGUAGGGAAUCUUCCGCAAUGGGCGAAAGCCUGACGGAGCAACGCCGCGUGAGUGAUGAAGGUCUUCGGAUCGUAAAACUCUGUUAUUAGGGAAGAACAAAUGUGUAAGUAACUAUGCACGUCUUGACGGUACCUAAUCAGAAAGCCACGGCUAACUACGU